UGACCGGAUGAAAAUCAAAGUUAAAACCUAAAAUGGGGAAGGAGAGAUAGAGAGAGAAAUAUGAGUCGAAACGAUUUGGUUUCUUAGAUUAGUUGAUGAGAUUUCCGUCAUGAUCAUUGUUCAUCGCAUUCUCCACUAUGAGAAAAAUAUGAAGGGUUUGGUUCUGGCCACGGCGCUGAUUACAGAACCUCAAGGUUUUUAAGGAUCAUCAUUACAAGAGAGAUGCCAUCAAGUUCACAGUAUGAAACCCUUGGUGGAUCUAAAUCUCACGACGAAUAUUGGGAUGAGAAUCAGAUGCAAAGCAAAUCGUGAGGCAGGAUAUACAUGAACCCUAGAAGUUAAAGUUGGUUCAAUAAGAUUUAGAUAAGUCUGUCAAAUCCUUUGACUCAAAGGUUUUGAGGAAGCUUAUCAAGCUUUUCUGAAGGCAAGUUCUAGUUUCAUGAGACCGCUGGAGAGUUUUUUGGGGUGUGAUAAGAAAACUUCGUAGUUUAUGAUAAGGAAAUUUUGAUGCAGUUUAUAAACUUGCGGACACAGCUGAAACUGACACGAAAAUCUAAAGCUAAAGGCUUGACAAACCUUUCACACUAUCCAUGUAUAACACGAGGCAGCAUACUGAUACCUACCUCCUUAGUUCUUUAUAACCACUGUAGCAACACCAAGCCUGGAUGCACACUAUAUUUUAUAGAUUUAUCAAGGGCAUAGAGAAUGUGAAGAGAGACAAGAAAGACAAACCACACCAAGAUGUAUUUGAAGUCUUGAAUUACAACUACUGCCUACUACUAUGUACAGUGCAUAGAGAAGAAGGUGAAGAUAGACAAGCAAAACAAACAUGCCAAGAUAUUAAUUUAUUGAAUGUGACUAUUGCCGAGUUUCGUAUUUUUACUCUUGAAUGGCUUUUUGCAAAACAAGGCGUUUUCUCAUAUUUCCAUAAAAACCUCGUAUAAACGAACAAGCAAGGAUACCGUCGAACCGUCAUUCAUCCACAGUAGUUAGAUGGAUUAUUAAUUAAGUUGAUUCAGUACCAUCACCAUGGGAAAAGUAUAUCAAAACUGUCUGAGAUACAUAGAGAGAAAGAGUUGUACAAGUA